CCUACGGGGGGAAGCAGUGGGGAAUAUUGGACAAUGGGGGCAACCCUGAUCCAGCCAUGCCGCGUGUGUGAAGAAGGCCCUCGGGUUGUAAAGCACUUUCAGUGAGGAAGAACGCCUGGUGGUUAAUACCCAUCAGGAAAGACAUCACUCACAGAAGAAGCACCGGCUAACUCCGUGCCAGCAGCCGCGGUAAUACGGAGGGUGCGAGCGUUAAUCGGAAUUACUGGGCGUAAAGCGCGCGUAGGUGGCUUGAUAAGCCGGUUGUGAAAGCCCCGGGCUCAACCUGGGAACGGCAUCCGGAACUGUCAAGCUAGAGUGCAGGAGAGGAAGGUAGAAUUCCCGGUGUAGCGGUGAAAUGCGUAGAGAUCGGGAGGAAUACCAGUGGCGAAGGCGGCCUUCUGGACUGACACUGACACUGAGGUGCGAAAGCGUGGGUAGCAAACAGGAUUAGAUACCCGGGUAGUC
rnacentral:rRNA from 1 species